rnacentral:lncRNA from 1 species
UUUGAGGAAAAAGGAUUUGUUCUCCAAAACACCAAAAGCUUGAUGUCUCUAAGUCUCUUCACCAAGGAUGUAUAUUGUGAAGAUGAUAUGGAUGACUUAGAGAGAUUUUAGAUGCUAGUAAAAAUCCUCUAAGUGGCCGGCCUCUAUGUAGAAAAUGAGAGAAAAUGUUUCACCCAAUUUCUAUUAGAAAAACCCUAAUGAGAAACAAAGCUAUAAAGAUGACUUUAUACUUCAUCUCUUAGGUUAGUGGCAAACUUGCAAUUAAGCAAAAUUUCCCACUACCCUUGCUAUGGCCGGCCUCCUUUUGUUAUUGGGCUAAAUGCCCAUAUUUGUUUUAGUUGUCAUACAACUUAAACAUAAUGGGCCUAGUGGACCAAAACAAUUUUGGACCCUGAAGCCCAAACUAACUUAAAAGCCCAAUACGAACCUUUCGUAUAAUUAAUUAACUAAUUAAUUAACUUUGACCAUUCUUCAAUUAAACCAUUUAAUUGCUUAUCCAUUUCAUAUAAUUUCUUCACUAACAUCCUUAUGUGGUGUGCGAUCCAUUAGGUUCCAAUUAGCGAGGUAGUGGGCGAUGUUACUCUUAACGAUCGAUUGUGAAUUGAAACCACAUUUCAAUUCUCCCUUAAGAUUAGUGUUUGCUAAUCUUCAGGGCUUCCACAAACCAUGAGUGACACCUAGCAGCAUAUCAUGGUUACCCAAGCUAAGUAGAAUUGGUUGGAGAACCUAUCCAGUUACAACUACAAUGCAAUACGGUCCUUCUCUAAUACAAUACUCUUAAUUACAUUGUUUAAGUGAUAGUUUGUUUCAUGUCUACUAUCCAAUGUGAUACUUCCUAUAUGAUUCAUUUGAAUAUGAUUUGGAACAAAUUUCCUAAGUCAUAUUCAUUUGCUUUGGCCAAAGACUUUAGAAUCAUAUCUUAGAGUAUUCUCCCUCC